AUAUCAACGUGAUGGGUGAUGAGAUGCAGCACCUCAUAAAAAAAGGCAGCUUGACAGAAAGGCAAUCUUGGUUGUGUGGAGCCCUUCCAUGAAAUUAUCUAAUAUGGGAUAUGUGAAAAUCUGUGCCAACAGUGAUCCUGCUGGGACUCACAGUGGGAAAGAGUGUGAUUAACAGACAACACAGCAGCAGGUGGCCAGGAUAGGCUCAGCUCUGAGGGAGAGCUGGAUGGCUUCACAAGAAACGUGUUCCAGCCUGGAAACACAAACAAAGUUCUAGUCAAGGAAACUUUACUGCCUGCCUCAGCAGAUGUGAAUCUCAUCAACACUCCACUGGCAAUAUUAACCAGAUGUUUAUUGACAAUAAAAGAUCUGUGAUGACUAGUUCAGAUGUGCAUACCUGCACUGCAGACAUCCAGAGUGAGCCACGUAACUGCAGCUGGUGUCAGGGCACUGCUGCAGGAUGAGCUACCUGUGUAGACUUGCAGCUUCUUUGAUGGUUGAAGUAUUUCCAAAAUAAUUUUUUCUCAGCUGGAAGUAGAAACAGCUGCUGGAGAAAAUGGAAAAUAGCAGCCUAAAGAAAAAAGUAAAAAAGAAAUGCAUGUGACCUUCAAGAUGUACUGUACAAAAGAAGAGAGUACGUGCAGGGUACUAUAAAUGACCUAAGGCUCUUAGGAAUCUUGCUAAUAUUCCCACUUCUGAAAGCCCUUUCUUCUUUAGGAAUUUGAGAAGGGAAAGAUGGAGAACGAGAAAGAAAAAAAAAAGAAAAUAUUAAAUUGUGUAAUAGGCUUUGUCAUGGAGAACGUCACUGUUUUAUAAUGAAAAAGGAAAAGGAAUUUCCUGGAUAAAGGAUAGGCCAGUUGAAAUAGAUUGUGGCCACAGAACUUCAGGUUGGAAAUUUACUAACUCUGUCUGCAUUUCCCAACAUCCUUGCCAGCUCAAUGACCAAGGCACAAUAUGACAUCUGCAAGGGACUGCCUUUCCUCAUAGUACCUCAUGGAAAGUGUGGGACAAUUUGGCAGUCCGGACUGUGGAAGGGAAUGGAUCCAUGAACCAUUCACAGUGGCCUUGAGAAGCUGUAAGAACCAUCACAAGUUAGGAUAUAUUGUUCAGGCUUGAGCCAAGAUAACCACUUUAUGGGAACAGUUGUGUUUUUGUCAUUCACAGUCACAUCUCAGGUUCUCCUUUUGAUUACAUAGAUGUGUCUGUGCUUUUAUUGGGGUUCAGGUGUCCUGGUCCAUUAUUCUUUCAGUUUCCUGGAAGCCAUUCACAUGAAUCCUCAUUCAGCAGCUCUCAUCUGCACUGGGUAUUUGUCCUUACACCAGUACUCAGGAAGAAAAGAAAAAGCACAGCGUGGCAAUGAUUUACAAAGUCUGACAAAACACUAAAGCAAUAUUUCACACAUCACUCAGAUCAUGAAAGAGAGCUUAAUUUCUGGAGGGAACAGUAGCCAUCUAACUAAUUGAUUUAAGCAGAAAACUCACUGUCAAGGUCAGUCUAAAAACACAGUGAGGCAAGAUAUAUUUUAUUACAUAAAACCUCUCAGUGUUUUAAUUUGAUUAUGUUAUUAGUUCCAUGUAAGUGUAUUAACUAAGAAGGCAUGAUUAACUGAAUAAAUUUUAGAAGUGAUGAGGAGGCUGGUGUCGACAGUAGCAGUUCAACUAUUAGAAUCCAGACACUCUGUUUUUACCUAUGAAGGAAAAAAAAAAUAUAUAUAUAUAUAUAUUCUAAGGUGGAACUUCUCAGAAGACACCUGAAAAAUCUAUCAUGGGAAAGGAACACUUCUGGGAUUUCUUCUUUGUCUAGACAGGGAGAAGCCUCUGAUCAAAC
rnacentral:lncRNA from 7 species